rnacentral:rRNA from 1 species
UACGUAGGGUGCAAGCGUUGUCCGGAAUUAUUGGGCGUAAAGAGCUCGUAGGCGGUUUGUCGCGUCGAAUGUGAAAACCCGGGGCUCAACCCCGGGCCUGCAUUCGAUACGGGCUGGCUAGAGGUAGGUAGGGGAGAACGGAAUUCCUGGUGUAGCGGUGAAAUGCGCAGAUAUCAGGAGGAACACCGGUGGCGAAGGCGGUUCUCUGGGCCUUACCUGACGCUGAGGAGCGAAAGCGUGGGGAGCGAACAGG